rnacentral:tRNA from 1 species
GGUGGGUUGGCGAAGUGGUAACGCUGCGGUCUGCAAAACCGCCACUCGUGAGUUCGAAUCUCACACCCACCU